AAAUGUUUCAGCAAUAGGUGAUUCCCUAAAGUUCAGUAGAGAAACAUAGACCCAAAAAAAAAUAUCAAGAUUGUCUUAGCAGACGUGGUCAUCAUUUCACAGCUUUUGAGUUGGUUUACAAAGAAUAUAUUGGAUAGUUAUAGGUUGUAUAACAAAGAUUAAAGAACCAGAAGAUAAUAUAUUGUUUGGCGGGGAGAUCACAGAGAACACAAUUUCAAAGCUGCAUUCCAUAGUUUUAUUUACAGAAUGUGCAUACAGAAUCAAGCAACCGGAUCCCCCUUCUGGCACACAUAUAACAGAUGCAUCAUCUGCUACCAUGCCUCAAUCGAAGAAGAGAUUCCUAUAUAACACAGAUUGGAUCACCGACCUUGAUGCUUUUCCAGGUGGAAAUUGCCAUCCUGGAGAAACUUAUAAAGAAAAACAAUAAGAAAAAAUGGCGUUCAGAAGAGUUCAAAUAGUUUCCAAAAUAAUAAUUUGAACAACAAAGUAGCAAGAUAAAUGUAUAACAGUGGAGACCUGAUGAUGGCCUCAAAUAUAUGCACUGUCACAAUUAACCAGUAUACUAAAGAAACAUGCUUAAGAGGGUGAGGGCCCCAACUAGAAAAAAAUGUAUUAUGUGUAAUAUUACUAACCGAUCUCACUAGCACAGAGCAUAAUAAAUAAUAAACCAUAUGUUAAGAUGUUUUCGGUCAUACAAACCGCAUUUCUGAUCCUUCUUCCAUUAUAACUUAAACUCUCACUGAUCACAGCUACACAACUGUGUGUCAUAAAAGUAAAUAAUCUCUAGUGGAAUUUGAAGUUUUCUAAAACCUGUCGCCAAAUGGUGUAUCAUUAUCAAGAAAAUUUGGACGAAGGACUGCAAUUCGGCACAACAUGUGUUUAAUCUUAACCAAUUGUUUAAACCCCUAAAGCAUCUCAUACUAUAUCCUUAUCUUCAAAUAUCAUUUUGAAUGGGAAAGAAAAACCAAUGCAUUAACCAAGGAUUCUCUGUAUGACCUUCGUAUAUAUUCUAAUUUAUAUUCAUAGCACUACAUAUAUUCUCUGUAUGACCUUCAUAACACAUAAUAAUAAUAUUCCAUUGAACUUUUCUCAACAUAAGAAUUCCAACGAUUUUGUUCUAAACUCCAUAAUGAAGCCAGAUACAUACAUGAAUUUUAGUAUUUUGCAAUAGCAAACUGUGUAACUUUUCUCAAUAAAUAUGAGAUAACUGGAAUGGCAGGAUGAUGUUUGUUCUCCCCUUAUUUUCAGCUGGAUCUCAAUAAAUCAGCGGCAAAGAGUACAUCACCACGGUUUAGUUUAGGAAGUUGCUGCAUUUCAAGAAUAUGUAGCCUAUUCUCCUGUACAUGCCAGCAAGCUCUUUCUGUACUGAACACAAUUGGAAAAAAGCCUAAUGUGCGAAAGCCAUAGACAAAAACCUUUUUUAGAGAUGGCGAUAUACUGAUAUACAUAUAUAGUACUCAUCUUCCUCUGCUAGAUGCCAUGUUCCGAGUAAAGGAAGGGAUGUUGUUUCCAUUUGAUUAUAAAUUGUGCUCUAAAGGCAAUGAAAGCAUAUGCUGGUUUAAGAACUAUAAAUAACCUCAAAUCUAAUCACACAACUGUAUAUUUAUACUGUCAAUGAUUUCAAAAGAGUUACCUGUAUGGAGUCAUCAACGUUCCCUGUCUAGAGCAGUACUGAGAGGUGAGAGCAAGCCUCUGAAACAAGGCACAGAACUAAGCAUACUAUGAUGAACCAAUUAUGAAUAUCUUACAAAGUUAGACAUUUACAAUAAUUGUAGCACCAAAUAGUUCGAUGCCAGCCAAUAAAGCUACUAAGUAAAUCAUGGCUCCAAUGCCUUGUCACCUAUACAUUAAAUUAGUGUAACUAUAUAAGAAAAUGCAGUGGUACUACAAAUAACCUAAUAGUAUAUCAUAUAACAUGACAAUUAUCAUCUUAAGAAAACUACCAGUUUACAUGACAUCUCCAACCAUAUUUCUUACAAUUGUUCAAUUUCUGUAUUAGUAUAUGAAAUAUGCAAAUCUUUCUACACACACAAAAACAUUACCAUGAUUAGUGUUUCCAAACAUAAAUCUACAAAUAAUAUUCAGAUACAGAUUUAUAACAAUGGCAAACAAACAUUCUCUAUGCUUCCUUAAAGAUGGUGCAUAAGAAAUGAACGACAUAGUAGAAAAUAUAUUGUAAUGGUGCCAUACUACCAAAAAUGCAUUCUUGUCCAUUACCUUGAGGAACAUGAGAUCUGAAAAUAAGACACUGCAAUAAAGUGACAACUCCGACAAUGUCGAUGGACCUGCAAGCACCAUUUAUAAGAUUCAAGUUUGUUUAGCUAAGAAGAAAUUAGUGCAUACACCGUGAAGUGUAUAAUGAAAAAAUACCUGACCAAUGUCUUCCUUAGUUGCGUCAAGAUAAUUUCUACACAGAGAAGAAGCUACCACCGUAAGUAAGAACAAAUAAUAUGGUAGCCUCUUCUUUGAGUACACACCAAAGUACUAUUUCAAUUUAGUACUUAAAACUUCCUCAAGAUAAUUUCUAUGCGGAGAAGAAGUGAGGCUACCAUUAGUAGGCCAGUCCGAAAAAGAGAAAUGUAAUGUCAGCAUGAAUAAUGCAGUUCUUUGCACAUAUAGAUUUUUUUUCAAAUAUAGGCAUGAAUUAAUGACUCCGAUCCAUAAACAACACCUGGGUAAUCUAUAAGAAUCUAAAGCUGACAGAACAGAUCGUAUACUUCCUCUUGCAAAGGCUCGAGCUAAUAAAAGUCAGAGGUGAUGAAGAGAAAAAAUAUUUCUAUGGACAGCAGAACGGGGAGGCAUGACUAAUGCAUGGGUCACCAGCAAGAUGCACAUAGCACACCGAAACAAACAAAAAAUAUGAGAAGAAAAGCUGAACAAAAUUUGACAAUGAGAAAGAAUCGAAGUGCUGCAGCCAAAGAAACUCCUCACUGCCACCAGCAAGAUUUAGUCUGAAUUAUGCACAUCAUUUCUUCGAAGCAUCAUAUACUCUCAGUUAACCAACAACAAUCAUGAAGCGCACGUGCCUGCCCAUGUUGUAGGCCAUUGACUCCAGUCCCCAAUGGACUCCUUCAACAAUGCAGUGUCUUCCAGUAGCAAUGCAAAAUUCAGCAACAAAGGCAACAAGCCUAGUGAUUGAAUCAAUAGCAGAAGAAACACUUUCGACCAAUUCCAGAGAAACGGAGAAUAUGCAUAUGAACUUACCACUGAUAUAACAAUGCAAUGCCAUUUCAUAUUUGUUGUUGGUUGGUUUUAGAGGGAUUCUGGUAAAAAAAAUCAAAUUGUUUAAGGUUGCCUCUUUCCAGAAAGAAAUGAAAUUAAAAAUGUAAAUUUAGCAAGCCUGUGGAUAAGAAUAAAAAUGAAACUUCCUAGCUGCAUUAAAACUUCAAGCUCCCUACUGAAAAAUUAACAGGCCACAACAAAUCACUGGAAAGUAGCAUUUCAUAGAAUUAGUUCUUUGCUCAAGUUAUUUUGCCCACUUCUCUCAGUUUGCACUUCCUUACUGAUAGUUUGGUCUUCAGAUAAAAUUGGUUGUUGAAUCCAUUUUAUACCAAAAAAAGAGACACUCAAGGUAAAUGUGAACUUUGAUCCAAAACUGUAAGAACAAGGAAAAUGCCUUUUUACCUGUGUUUCUUACAAUGGAUUCCCUUUACAUCUGUGCUGUUGUAGUGAGUUAGCCACAGAUAGAGCAUCAAGAACACAAGUCCUAAUCAAAUCUUGUUUCGAGAUGGAAUUUCCUCAAACAAGUUAAGUGCACGUGUUCUAUUUUCCUGUCAGAAAUAUGAACAACAACAAACAUGUCAUCAUUGUAAUGCAAUUGAAGGACGUCUAUGAAUUGUACGUUCAAAUUCAUAUGGGAAUUACUAUCUAAUCUUCCUCCAUAUGUCUGCAAGUAUCCGUGCAGAGAAAAAGCAUCUCCAAGUUACAUAGAUCUAAUUCAAGCUCCACACAAAUGCUAAACAAAAUCAAAUCAGUAGGUACCUGCACCUGGCGCUUGACUUGAUCUGGACAUGGUGGCACCAUUUGUGGAGAGAAGCACUUGGGGACAUCAGUGACGACGCAGGACAACAGCGGCAGUGACGACACAGGACAGCGGCAGACAGGGAGAGGAGAGGCCAGCGCCGCUGCAUUCCCUGCUUGGGAGCCGCCUGUCUCGCCGGAUGCCAUGCUCUCUCGGCCACCCCAUCGCACCCCCUUGUGGUCCGCCACUCUGCUCUGUCAGCGGCGGCACCAGGCCCUGUGCGGCUGUGCUCACCCGGCGACCCCCACCUCCUGGCUCUGCACCCCCUUGCCCACUUCUCCCCUCUCCGCCCAGGCUCCUCCUACCACUGCUGCUAUCUCUCUAUCAGCAAGCAGGUGGAAGACGAAGGCGUGGUUGAGGCGCACUGUCCAGAUCUUGGCCCUCCUUACCAUGGCAGAUUUGAUCUGCGUGAAAAACCAUGUGUGGCUGGGUAGGACAGCGUCCAGCGCGGUCGUUCCUCACCGUGGAACACCCCAGCUAGCACAUGGCAUCCUCUGAUGGUCACCAGCCCUGCCGCCGCCAUAUUACUCACGCACACCGGCAUACGCGAGGGAGAGGGAGGGGGCUAGGGUUCGUGGCUUCGUGCUGUGGAGAGAGAUCGAGGAGGGAGGUGGGGAGGGGUGUGGCGUGAAGGCGAGGGGAUUGCCCGACGGGGUUUCGAGGGCACGACCUGCCCCACACCCCCGCAAACUGUG
rnacentral:lncRNA from 1 species